rnacentral:rRNA from 1 species
AGUGAACGCUGGCGGCGUGCCUAAUACAUGCAAGUCGAACGGAGUGGCGAACGGGUGUGUAAUGUAUAGCUAAUCUGCCCUACACUAGAGCACAACAGGUGGAAACGGCUGCUAAUACUCUAUAGAGUAGGAUGAGGCUAUAUUGUAUUAGUUAGUUGGUGAGGUAAUGGCACACCAAGGCUAUGACGCAUUACUGGUCUGAGAGGAUGAUAAGGCACACUUGAAAUGAGACACGGUCCAGACUCCUUCGGGGGGGAGCCGGAGGGGAUAUUGCUCAAUGGGGGAGACCCUGGAGCAGCAACGCCGCGUGGAGGAUGACACUUUUCGGAGCGUAAACUCCUUUUGUUAGGGAAGCGGUACCUAACGAAUAAGCACCGGCUAACUCCGUGCCAGCAGCCGCGGUAAUUC